CGACGGUUCGCCGCCCGGCGUCUACUGUCGGCUUCCGAACAGCCCGCCGGCUCGCGCGGGGUGCUCUUCAUCGAGUGUCCCGAGUGGCCGGCACGUUUACUUUGAAAAAAUUAGAGUGCUCAAAGCAGGCCCAGCCGCCUGAAUAUUCGUGCAUGGAAUAAUGGAAUAGGACCUCGGUUCUAUUUUGUUGGUUUUCGGAACUCGAGGUAAUGAUUAAUAGGGACAGACGGGGGCAUUCGUAUUGCGACGUUAGAGGUGAAAUUCUUGGAUCGUCGCAAGACGAACUACUGCGAAAGCAUUUGCCAAGAAUGUUUUCAUUAAUCAAGAACGAAAGUUAGAGGUUCGAAGGCGAUCAGAUACCGCCCUAGUUCUAACCAUAAACGAUGCUGACUAGCGAUCCGCCGGCGUUAUUCCCAUGACUCGGCGGGCAGCUUCCGGGAAACCAAAGUCUUUGAGUUCCGGGGGAAGUAUGGUUGCAAAGCUGAAACUUAAAGGAAUUGACGGAAGGGCACCACCAGGAGUGGAGCCUGCGGCUUAAUUUGACUCAACACGGGGAACCUCACCAGGCCCGGACACCGGAAGGAUUGACAGAUUGAGAGCUCUUUCUUGAUUCGGUGGGUGGUGGUGCAUGGCCGU
rnacentral:rRNA from 1 species